rnacentral:lncRNA from 1 species
UUUGGUCAAACAUUAUUCUUGAUGUCUCUGCAAGACUGUUUUGGGGGUGAAAUUAACAGGCAAGUUGGUGAGCUUUGGUGAAGCAAACAACCUUACAUGAUAGCCCCAUCCUGAAUGCCCAGCGGUGCCCACAGCCAGGAGGAGCAUUCGAUGUGUGAUGACUCAUCUCGUGCAUCAGACGCUCUCUAAAGUUCCCACAGAUUAUACCAUGGCUUAGUGAGUGCGAUUCUAAGACAGUUCCAAAAGACUUUUCAAUCCGUGGGAGUUUCAAAGUGGAUUCUCAGACAAACAUGGGGAGGACUGAGGCAGGCUUGGACACGCACAGAAUCAGACAACGAUGGUCCGGAGUUCAAAUCCCUGCAACCACAUGGUGGCUCACAACCAACUGUAAUGAGAUCUGGCGCCCUCUUCUGGAGUGUCUGAAGACAGAUACAGUGUACUUACAUAUAGUAAAUAAAUAAAUCUUAAAAAAAAAAAAAA